rnacentral:rRNA from 1 species
UGAGGAAUAUUGGUCAAUGGCCGAGAGGCUGAACCAGCCAAGUCGCGUGAGGGAUGACGGCCCUACGGGUUGUAAACCUCUUUUGUCGGGGAGCAAGACCCGCCUCGUGCAGGCGGAGCGAGAGUACCCGAAGAAAAAGCAUCGGCUAACUCCGUGCCAGCAGCCGCGGUAAUACGGAGGAUGCGAGCGUUAUCCGGAUUUAUUGGGUUUAAAGGGUGCGCAGGCGGACCAUCAAGUCAGCGGUAAAAUCGUGGGGCCCAACCCCAUCCCGCCGUUGAAACUGGCGGUCUUGAGUGAGCGAGA